AUUGAACGCUGGCGGCAGGCCUAACACAUGCAAGUCGAGCGAGAGGCGGACGGGUGAGUGAUGUCUAGGAAACUGCCUGAUGGAGGGGGGUAACUCCUGGAAACGGUAGCUAAUACAGCAUACCAUCAGAUGUGCCCAGAGUGGAUUAGCUAGUAGGUGGGGUAACGGCUCACCUAGGCGACGAUCCCUAGCUGGUCUUAGAGGAUGACCAGCAACACUGGAACGGAGACACGGUCCCGAUUCCUACGGGAGGCAGCAGUGGGGAAUAGUGCACAAUGGGCGAAAGCCUGAUGCAGCCAUGCCGCGUGUGUGAAGAAGGCCUUCGGGUUGUAAAGCACUUUCAGCGGUGAGGCGUUACCCGCAGAAGAAGCACCGGCUAACUCCGUGCCAGCAGCCGCGGUAAUUC
rnacentral:rRNA from 1 species